UUCCAACGAAAAGCCCCCAACCAGCUAGUCCCACACCGACCAAAACAUAAAGCUCUCUUCCGUUUAUAUGGCAAAAGCUCAACAAAGGAGUUCGUCCCUUCGGGGACAUCCGAUAAAAUUGGAACGAUACAGAGAAGAUUAGCAUGGCCCAUGCGCAAGGAUGACACGCACAAAUCGAGAAAUGGUCCAAAUUUUUUUUUUCUCCUGCUAGGGUUUCGUUGGAACCUUCAAUCUGAGCCAUUGUACCUGGUUUAGUGAAACUUAAGGCUCGGUUACAGAUGUGGAAGGAAAAAGGCUCACUCAGCUCAUGGGCUACCUGGCAAUAGCUCUAUCAGACAAUGCUCAGAAAAUACGUAAGCUCCUCUGUCAAAGCAACAAUACUAGUAGCCGUUAUGCACUAAUCUCAUAAUUUUUUUGGUAUGACUAAUGCCCAAGGAGUCAAGGACAACAUUUAUGUAUGUAGCACAACCUAAGUUGUGCGAACUCUUCGAUUUGGGUGCCGUCCCCGUCCGGAUAUGGGACGAAUACGGGGACGGGAUACGUCCCGGAUACGGUCAACUGACUUCGGACACUUUGACCGGAGUCCAUCGACAAAUUUGGGAGAAAUAUUGAGAUUUUGAUUUCUCAAAAUCAAAAAUAAAACAAAUUUAGAACAAUGAAAGAAUAAUGUCCAUCUUGGAGAAUGAAAGAUUGAGUUGUAUAAUAUUCAUGUAAGUUUUUCACAAAAUAUCUCUCAAAAUUUACAAUAUUUUAUAGCUCUAUUUUUUAUUAGCCGAAUCCCCGCACCCGUAUCCAUAUCCGGAUGCACCCCUAAAUCUUAAAAUUUAGAUUUUGCCGAAUCUGAUACUCGGAUCCGUCCCCGUAUCGGAUACCCGCACCCGAGUCCGAGCAACUUAAAGCUCAACCAUACAAGAACAGCCACAAUUUAUAAGAACCCUGUAAACUUCCGUUUGAGCGGCGCAGGAAGGGUUGAUUUUACUAGCUUGGACCUUUAAGCCUCACUCUUCUUUCGAUCCUUCUAUGAUCUAACAAGGGCACUAUGUAUUGUUACACCAGUCGUUAGUAAACCUAGUUUUACUUGUCCAAGCAAGCGUAAACGCUUGCGUUUGUGUUCUGUAAACUAUGUAGACAUGCAGCAGAUGCUGUCUAGUCAACAAUGCCAGUACUAGCUUGGAUCUUCGGAGACAUUCAGCACACGGAACUAUUUUUUUACUCGCACGUCGGUCUUUGUUAUCUGUGUGUUGCCUUUUCAUCUUCUCAAUCAUUAGCCACAUAGUUUAUCCCAUGAGCUAGUUAAGCCAAUGCAGUUUUGGCCCCACAUCCAACUCCCGAUUUGUUUGUUCUUGGAUUACUGGUGAUAUUUAUUCAAUAGGAUGAGAAGCUCAUUUCUUCUAUUUUAUAAUACUGCCAAACAAGCCCUUAAUUUACCAAUGUGUCACCCCAAGCAUUUACAAUUGAUCUAGUUGAAUAUAUUGAGAACUUUACUGCAGAUUGUUGGUCUAGUUACUCUCAAGAAUCGGAACAGUGAUGUGAGUAGGGAUAAUCCGACUGAAGUGAGCACUGUUUAGUUGAUCAAAGAUCAUCUUUACAAACCCUCCUUUUAAUUUGAACAUCUUUCUCAAAUUGAAAUGAAAUCUUAGUUGCAGAUGCUAGUCCCAGCUGAACUACUUAUGAUGCACCAUUUCGUUUCCUGGAAUUUAUUUUCAUAUAAUUUGGCUGAUUCUGCUCAAGUUACUAUUACAUGUUGCUGUAGUGAUAUAGCUUUCUCAUGGGUUUAUUUCAAGAAAUUAGUUUUACGGCUUUUAAUCACAAGAGAUAUUACUUAUUUCUAUAACCACAAAACUUACCAACUGAAACAAUUUAGGAAAAAUGUGGACACUCUCUAUUGUGCUCUAAACACCAAAAUAGUCACGUUAAGUGAUAUGGAUAGUUCCCUGAAUAAUAUAAUUUCAAAUCUACAAAUAAUCUGAAUUCAUAACUCUUCCAGUUCAGCUCUACAUUUUCUGUUUGUUAGAUUCUUAUCAAGGUUGUACAAAUCUGGUAACCAAUUCCCUAGGAACUCAGUUAUUCUUAAAAUUCAUUGUAGGAGAAAGUGUCUAGAUUUUGAUAAGAAAAGAAAGAUCAUCUUGUGUUUAGCUUAAAUCUUUUAAUUCUAUUAUUAUAUUUUAUAUAAAGGCCUAAAUCUUCUAAUCUUUUCCAAAUGUUUUGUCACUUUCCAACUGUGAAUUGCUAAUUAGUAAACUACACUUCUGAGGUAUUAGGGAGGAGUAUGUUUAUACAAUAAAAAAAGAAAAAGUAAUAUAGUGCUUGAAAAAGAACGCAAAAUUGGAAGUAGAUGAAGUAGUUUAUAAAGGAACAAGUGCAGUAUUUCAUGUGUUUCAUCCUAGUAUAGUCCACAAGCAGCCCAUUUGGUAAAAGGCCUUUCAGAAAAGCUCAACUAAACAAGAAAAGGAAGGAAGAUGCUUUUUCCGGUUUUAUCCCAACGAGCCCCCCAAACUAUUGGAGCGGAUAAAAUUGGAAACAUAGAAGAUUAGCAUGGCCCUGUCACAAGGGUUGACAUGCACAAGCUGAGAAGUGGUUCAAAUUCUUUACUCCAAUCCCCCAAUUUGUUAAGGUUUUGUGGAACCUUCAAUCUGAGAUAUGUUUCUUUCUUUCUUUUUUUUCUUUCUUUUUUCGUUGUCCCUCGUUGUUUAUGUAAAUUGUUAAAAGCUUCUUGUUUUAACAAUAUUGAUUGAAGUGCUGUGAAUUUUUAUGCUCCAUAGUAAAUUGCGAAUAUUUAUUGAGCUGA